rnacentral:rRNA from 1 species
UACGGGGGGAGCAAGCGUUGUUCGGAUUUACUGGGCGUAAAGGGCGCGUAGGCGGCGUGACAAGUCACUUGUGAAAUCUCCGGGCUUAACUCGGAACGGUCAAGUGAUACUGUCGUGCUAGAGUACAGAAGGGGCAACUGGAAUUCUCGGUGUAGCGGUGAAAUGCGCAGAUAUCAGGAGGAACACCAAUGGCGAAGGCAGCUCGCUGGGACGGUACUGACGCUGAGACGCGAAAGCGUGGGGAGCAAACAGG